rnacentral:rRNA from 1 species
AGAGUUUGAUCCUGGCUCAGGAUGAACGCUGGCGGCGUGCUUAACACAUGCAAGUCGAACGGGAAAUAUUUCAUUGAGACUUCGGUGGAUUUGAUCUAUUUCUAGUGGCGGACGGGUGAGUAACGCGUGGGUAACCUGCCUUAUACAGGGGGAUAACAGUCAGAAAUGGCUGCUAAUACCGCAUAAGCGCACAGAGCUGCAUGGCUCAGUGUGAAAAACUCCGGUGGUAUAAGAUGGACCCGCGUUGGAUUAGCUUGUUGGUGGGGUAACGGCCCACCAAGGCGACGAUCCAUAGCCGGCCUGAGAGGGUGAACGGCCACAUUGGGACUGAGACACGGCCCAGACUCCUACGGGAGGCAGCAGUGGGGAAUAUUGCACAAUGGGGGAAACCCUGAUGCAGCGACGCCGCGUGAAGGAAGAAGUAUCUCGGUAUGUAAACUUCUAUCAGCAGGGAAGAUAGUGACGGUACCUGACUAAGAAGCCCCGGCUAACUACGUGCCAGCAGCCGCGGUAAUACGUAGGGGGCGAGCGUUAUCCGGAUUCAUUGGGCGUAAAGCGCGCGUAGGCGGCCCGGCAGGCCGGGGGUCGAAGCGGGGGGCUCAACCCCCCGAAGCCCCCGGAACCUCCGCGGCUUGGGUCCGGUAGGGGAGGGUGGAACACCCGGUGUAGCGGUGGAAUGCGCAGAUAUCGGGUGGAACACCGGUGGCGAAGGCGGCCCUCUGGGCCGAGACCGACGCUGAGGCGCGAAAGCUGGGGGAGCGAACAGGAUUAGAUACCCUGGUAGUCCCAGCCGUAAACGAUG